rnacentral:rRNA from 1 species
GGAAUUGUUCGCAAUGGGCGCAAGCCUGACGACGCAACGCCGCGUGGAGGAUGAAGAUCUUCGGGUCGUAAACUCCUUUCGAUCGAGACGAAUGGCCCCUGGGUCAAUACCCCGGGGGCGUGACGGUACCGAGAGAAGAAGCCCCGGCUACCUCCGUGCCCGCAGCCGCGGUAAUACGGGGGGGGCAAGCGUUGUUCGGAAUUACUGGGCGUAAAGGGCUCGUAGGCGGCCAACUAAGUCAGACGUGAAAUCCCUCGGCUUAACCGGGGAACUGCGUCUGAUACUGGAUGGCUUGAGAUUGGGAGAGGGAUGCGGAAUUCCAGGUGUAGCGGUGAAAUGCGUAGAUAUCUGGAGGAACACCGGUGGCGAAGGCGGCAUCCUGGACCAACACUGACGCUGAGGAGCGAAAGCCAGGGGAGCAAAC